rnacentral:ncRNA from 2 species
AUGAUCGCUCUACGGACAGGUGCCCCUGAUCUUCAGGGGAUAAUCGGGAAGUAUGGUGCGGCCGCUCAGGCCAAUUCCAUCGCUGCCCCCGCAUCGGUAAUAAAGGCGUAGUCUGCAAAUACCACUGGCGCGAGCCGGGAAGGUGCAGACGAUGACUGCCUCCAGGCUGUCCCCUUUGAGCCCGAAGACCGGCCUGUUAUGUCGUGUUUUC